GGAAGAUGAAAACACAUGGUAGAAAAGACAAGGGGCCAAGAGGAGGCCCCUAUCCUGACUGUUCUGCCAACCACCAGGCAUCUUGUUGGUCCCAUGAGAGUGGUCUCCCCAUUUACAGGUAUCAUCUCUGGAUUCAAUAAAAGGCUGCUAUCUGUGAGCCAAGGAAAGAGACCUCACCAGAAGCCAACGCUGCUGGCACCUUGAAUCUUGAAUUCAGAGCCUACAGAACGAUUCUGCAUGUGACUUUGGACUGUUUACGUCUCCAUUCUGUGUCUUGGUUUCCUUUUCAAUGCACCGAGGACAAUAAUACCAGUUGAGAAAUUACUUUGAGAUGAAUGCCUCAUUUGCUUUCACUGCUUGUAAAACCC